UACAGAGGUCUCAAGCGUUGUUCGGAUUCAUUGGGCGUAAAGGGUGUGUAGGUGGCGCCGUAAGUCGGGUGUGAAAUUUCGGAGCUUAACUCCGAAACUGCAUUCGAUACUGCGGUGCUUGAGGACUGGAGAGGAGACUGGAAUUCAUGGUGUAGCAGUGAAAUGCGUAGAGAUCAUGAGGAAGACCAGUGGCGAAGGCGGGUCUCUGGACAGUUACUGACGCUGAGGCACGAAGGCCAGGGGAGCAAACGGG
rnacentral:rRNA from 1 species